UACAGAGGUCUCGAGCGUUAGGCGGAAUCACUGGGCUUAAAGCGUGUGUAGGCGGAUGCCUAAGUACCUUGUGAAAUCCCACGGCUUAACCGUGGAACUGCUUGGUAUACUGGGUGUCUUGAGCCACUCAGGGGCGAGCGGAACAAAUGGUGGAGCGGUGAAAUGCGUAGAUAUCAGGAGGAACACCCGUGGCGAAGGCGGCUCUCUGGGACGGUACUGACGCUGAGGCGCGAAAGCGUGGGGAGCGAACAGG
rnacentral:rRNA from 1 species